rnacentral:lncRNA from 1 species
UUUAAAUUAAACCAUUUAAAUCACGUGAAUAAAAAAAAAUAUUUGGAUCCAUUUUUUCAUGAGCGCUCAUCAUAUAUGAUAUAUGGACAUACGUACAUACAACAUAAAACACAAGUGCGCACACAACAUAUAACAUAAUAGUAAAGGCCUUAUAACUUUUUACAGGUGAAAUCUCCAUUGCAAUGUUUAAAAACUCUAUAGUCAAAAAAUAGAACUGAUCAGCAAAACAUUAACCUAGGUCUGUAUGAGCUCAAAAAACAAAAUAGAACUUCAUGAUGUGGGAAAGGGCAAUAAUAAAAUAGAUAUUGAAAAAAGCAUCCUGGUUCUGUCGCAGAUGUAAGGGUAGCCAAACUGGAGUUCUGGAUAUCAGCUGUUAUGGAUUUGAGCCAAAUCAUCUUUUUGAUCUGUAGAAAUCGCUUUAGUUAAUCUUUCUGGAAUCCAAAUCGGCUGCUGUUCUCCCUGUGGAAACACACAAACAGACCCCCGACUCCAGNAAGAGACAGCUAUAGCAUUAACUAUAUACUGACUAUCGGAAAAUAAAUUAAAUACAGAAUCUUUAAACAUCACAAAAGCUUGUAAUACUGCAUUAAGCUCUACCUUUUGAGCUGAUUGUUUGGGUACUAAAAAUGUAAAAGUUUGAUCAGGUGUAACUAUUGCUGCUGUACCAUUAUUUGACCCAUCAGUGAAUAUAUUUGGAGCAUUCAUGAUAG